CUUGAACCCUUUUUAAUAUUUUUCAUUUUACUCAGUUUUUGAAUAUUUAGAAACUGUCUUUCGGUCCUUUUCCUAGACGAAGAGAAGGUAAAUGCGUGGCCUAAGUGUCCUCUAUUUGCUUUCUCCUAUUUUUCGUCGUCUCUACGUGAUUAUAUAUUGUAAAAUCCGGAGAUAUGGGAUGCAGCCAGAAAGCAGUUUAUUAACGAAAAGUCUUAGAUUUAAAAUAUUGUUUAUUAUAUUUUUAUUUCAAUUAUUCUAAUUGUUUACAAAGUAGUAAACUUUGUAUCUGGGGCUUUUCGUUGUUUUCCUCGUAAUAAGAGAGAUGUCGCUUAUUUGCGUCUCAAAAGGUGGGUUCAUUGCAUCGCGAUGGUUUGCCUUAAAAGAGGCAGAAUGUUUAUAUUCUCUUCAGAGUUGUGACUGCAUAAACUUCACUGAUGAUGCAUAAGGAUGCUGAAAUAGUUGCUAUAUGGAGAUGGUAGUCCAACUCUGAAUCGAAUAUAAACAAAACCUGCCUUGAACCCUUUUUAAUCUCUACCUAAUAUAUUGGAAGAAUUUGGCAUACCAUCAAAAUUAACACGACUAGUGCAAAUGACAAUGACAGAAACAGAAGCACAGGUAUGUAUUCAAGGACAGAUCACUGAUGCGUUUACGAUAACGCAAGGACUGAAACAAGGCGACGGACUGGCUCCAACGCUUUUUAAUCUUGUUCUUGAAUAUGUAAUUAGACGGUUGACGGUGAGCGGAAAUAACAUACUUACAAACAAAUCUACCCAAUUAGCAGCAUACGCAGAUGAUAUAAACAUAAUGAGCAGAACAAUGAAUGCAGCGGAAGAAACCUACGUUGAGUUGAAACAGAGUGCAGAAGCAGUAUAUAGGGCUAGCAAUAAAUACAAAUAAAACAAAACUACUCAUACAAACCAGAUCAAAUAGACCGGCGCAACAACACUUUAUGGACGAUAUAGAACAUGUGAAUAGAUUGACCUACCUAGGAAUGGAUCUGGUUGCAAGCAAUGAAGAAGAACCGGAAAUAAAUAGAAGGCUUGUGCUGGCAAAUAAAACCUAUUUCGCGAUGGGCCACAUAUUCAAAUCGCGAGACGUACACCGGAAAACAAAACUCCGGGUAUAUAAAACAAUAAUCAGGCCCAUAGUAAGUUAUGGCUGCGAAACAUGGGUGGUGACUGGUGACACAGAAAUCUGCCAAUGCAUUAGAUGUGUUUGAAAGGAAAAUAUUACGUAGGAUACUGGGCCCAAUAAGUGAAAAUAACUGGCGAAUUAGGUAUAAUAGAGAAAUAUACGAGCAAUAUAGCGAACCAACUCUAGCACAAUACACUAAACUGCAGAGAUUACGGUGGGCAGGGCACGUGGUCCGCAUGCAUGAGAAUAGAAUCCCCAGAAAAUUGCUAAAUGCAAGAUUGCAGGAAAAAAGACCUGUUGGAAGACCUGAAAAGAGAUGGGAAGACGAAGUCGAUGAGGAUGCCAGGAACUUAUUCCUGGGAACGCGCUCAUGGAAAAGAACAGCGGUAAAUCGAAAUGAUUGGAGAAGCUUGUUGAAGGAGGCCAAGGCUCGAUUUGGGCAGUAGUGCCAUUGGAUGGAUGGAAAUUUGAAUUAUGUACUCCUCUUGGUUUAAAGACAGACUAUAGCAAUCUGAAAAUUAAAGGAAUAACGCAGAUAACACAAAAAAUCUCUGAUUUAACUUAAUAGGGCUUUUCAUCGAUUAUCAUUUGUUUCGAGCUUCUGUCAUAUGUUGUAUGAUCUGUGUAUAAUAUUAAUAUACACGGAUUAUAUAACAUAUGCCAGAAGCUCGAAACAAAUGACUGAAUGAAAAGCCCUUUUCAUUCAUUUUUCCGACUGUAAUUAACCUAUAUAAUGACAGAAGUGUCAAAAUUUCAUAACAGUGGAGUAAACUUGCCUGAGGUUGGACCCAAUUAAUUACAAACAAGCAUUACGGCGCGGUAAAUUUGAAUUACUCCUCUUGGUUUAAAAACAAAACUUAGUAUUAGGACCGUGCAAGUUCGGCAAAGCGACCCCUAUUUCUACGCUCUAUACUAAAAUUCGCACUUUUAAUUAUAUUGGCCAAUUAUAUUAGUCCUGGUUACUGGAUAAUUGUCAAGGCCAUAGUCCAAAAAAAUAAUGAGAAAAAAUAAGAUUCAGGUUAUGUUAUGAAAACGUCAACAAUUGUAUGAAGUAAAUAAAAUUAGUUAUUAAAAUGCAGUACUGCAAGCAAAAUAAAAUUAACUAAUUUACCUUUACGUAAUAAUUGCAUAUCAUAUCAAUAUUGUGGAGCAAUAUAUAAUUUUUCUGCUUCAUUGACAGAAGGUAUGAAAUAUACGUCAAUUUGACAAUUUCAAUUGACUGAUGAAUUAUUUAUAAAUAUGAAUUAUUUAAGAUAGUUGCAUAUCUUAAAUAUGAAUUAUUUAAGAUAGUUGCAAUAUUUCUCCGCGACUCGCGCAGGGUCGUUUCUCGUUUCCCCUUCCAAGUACUUGCACACCGCCAUAGCCACCUUUACUUUACAAGCCAUGAAGUUGAAACUUGGCAACAUCUAAGCGUAGACCGGUUAAUUCUCACAGUUCUCAUUUAUUUUUAAAUGUUUUUAAAUAAUAUUCACUGUAUUUACAGAAAAACUCAAACAUUUUACAAUAUUUCGUGCUCCAAAUUAUAAAGAAUAUUAAAAGAUGCCAAGCCGUUGCUGUGUGCCAGAGUGCAAAAGCAAUUACGAUAGCAGUCUUAAAAAGAAUGAACAACCAGAAAGCACUUUUUUAUUUCCAAAGGAUCCAAAGCUGCGAGAACUUUGGUUACAAUGUAUCCACAGGAAAAAUUUUGUUACUGGAACAUCAGCGUAGUAUGUGCCAAACAUUUUUAUUCUGAUGACAUCGAGAGAGUUAGAGAAUGGGUAGAUAAGGAAGGCAACAAACAUGUAGAGAAAUUAACGAAUCCUAAGUUAAAACCUUCUGCAGUUCCUCGCAUUUUUCCAAUUCAGGAUGUUUCUAAAUAAGUGCGAAAAACUUUAAAGGGAAAGGAACAAAAUGCAAAAUUUUGACGCCUGUCAAAAUUUUCAGUGUAUUUUAAAUGCAAUCAUUUUUUUCGAAUUCUGAGAAAACUAAUAAGUAUUUUUGAAAAAUUGAAACGCUGAAUGAAAGAUUACUUUAUUACCGAGGGCCGAAAGUCCCUUAGAAUGAAUGAAAGGUUGUUUUUGAAUGACAUAUUUGAAACUAAAAAUCACACUAAAUUUUCUUAAUUUUUCGCCCCUGUAACUUAUUAAAAUAAACAUAGAAGUUUUCAGGGACUUUCGGCCCUCGGUCCUAACGUAAUCUUUCAUUCUGCGUUUAAAUUUUUGAAAAAUACUCAUUAGUUUUCUUAGGAUUCGAAAAAAAUUAAUCCCAUGUAUAUUCUUGUUAUUGGUUUUUUUUUGUAUAAUAAACGUUACUUACAAGGAAGUACUUUUAAUUUUAUUUUGUACAAACUUCUAAUUAAUAAUAACGAGCGAUCCAAAAUUAUUGGGAUCAAAGCUAGCCGUGCAAAAAAUUACGUAUGUCCUCUUUGAAUCUGAAUUUAUAUCAUUAGGGAAUCCAUCGACCUGUCAAAGUUAAAUCACGUGAUCUUUGGUUGGCACACAAAACCGUUCUUAACCUAAACUCAAUGUAAUUUUUGAUUUUUCGUAUUUGUUUUUCGUCGUGAUUUUUUAGCUAAUUUAGUAUUAAAAGACAUUCAUUAGAUUAAUUAGUUUAUAAACUUUACGUUUUUGGUGAUCUUGAGUGCUGACAACAUGCCUGUGACUUGUAUAGUAGUGAACUGUGGAAGUCCAACUGAUCAGAAUAAUGUUAAUUUUAAUUUGUUUUUUGUCGUGAUUUUGAGCUUAAUAUAGUAUUUAAAGACAUUCAUUGGAUUAAUUAUUUUAUAAACUUUACGUUUUUGGUGAUUUUGAGUGCUGACAACAUGCCUGUGACUUGUAUAGUAGUGAACUGUGGAAGUCCAACUGAUCAGAAUAAUGUUAAUUUUAAUUUGUUUUUUAUCGUGAUUUUGAGCUUAAUAUAGUAUUUAAAGACAUUCAUUAGAUUGAUUAUUUUAUAAACUUUUCGUUUUUGGUGAUUUUAAGUGCUGAAAAUGGCUAAUUGGCUAUGUCAAAGCCAUUAAUAAAAAAAAAGUGCUGAAAACAUGCCUGUAACUUGUAUAGUAGUGAACUGUGAAAGUCGAGCUGAUCGGAUAAUGUUAAUUUUUUUCGUGUUCCCUCUAUAGGGCUUUUCAUUCACAGUCAUUUGUUUUGAGCUUCUGUCAUAUGUCCUAUAAUCCGUGUAUAGUAAUAUUAUACACGAAUUAUACAACAUCUAACGGAAGCUCGAAACAAAUGACAAUCAAUGAAAAGCCCUAUUAGAAACUCAUUUAUGUUUCCUCGCCUAACUAAAUUAUCAAAAAACAGGACGCACUCAUGCUAGGAAUUAUGGUUUUUAUUAAUAUUAUUACAAUUAUUUAUAUGUGACACUAACGUAACUAGUGACAUUAAUUUUAGGCCAAUGUGACAAACUUUAUUAAUACUAAAUUUUAACAUUUAUCCCCUAUUUUGUUAAAACAAUAUUAUUUUGUUUUUCAUUCUAUUCAAAAUAAAUGCAGUUUUGACAGGGAA